UUAUUUGCUAAAAAUACCAUCCCGCGCCCACUUCCCACCUUCAAGUCCAGAAACACCAUUUUCCCCCAAAUUCCUCGCCAACCCUCAUUUUAUCCUUUUCUUUUCUGCAAUCCUCACCAAUCCGCCACCAAGUUCAGAAACAACCCUCAUUCUCUUCUGCCGGCGUCACGGUUGUGCCGCCGUCACUCUGUUUGCUCGCGCCGCUGUCGCGCUCUGUUGCUGCCGUGCCGCUGUCGCUCCCACUGUCGCUACUCUUGCUUGCGCCGCCUGUCGCUCCACUGCUGCCGCGCCGCCGUCGCUCCUUCUCUCUGUUGCCGCCGUGGCUCCUCCUACUUUGGUCCUUCUCCGUUCUCUCUUAAUCGAUCUUGCAAGAACCAGGUCUGCUCCGGCGAAGAGUUGGGUGAAGGGAGAGAAUGAAAAAGAAGAAGAAGAAGAAGAAAAAGGAAAAAGAGAAAGUGGAGGUGGUGAGAGGGCAGAGUUUGAAGUCGUUAAUGGAGGAAGAAAAGAGAAUAAUAAAAACAGAACAAGAUAAUUACAAUAAAAAGAACAAGAACAAGAAGUUGUUGGUGAUGAGAUACGAGGGUGCAGCUGAUUGGAUUUCAUCGGAUAUUGCUAAAGAGACAUGGAUUGUUGGUGGCUUAAGAGAAACAUUAUUAAAGGCUCGAAGCUGCAAGAGAUGAUCCAUCACCAUCAUCAUCAUGCUAUUGCCAUUGCUUCCAGGACUCUUUUCAUUUUUCAAUUUUUUUUUCUUUUUGAAAUGAUUAUAUAUGUUUUAAUUGUUAGCAAUAUAUUAAAUAGCGUUUGUAUGUAUGAAUUUUAUUUUAGCAAAGUACUUUAAUGUGGUGGAGUGAAAACUAAGUGGGAUUCUAAUAAUGAGUUAGUGUCCAUAACCAUAAGUCCCAGUUUUUAGAUUCGGAUGUAUGCUUUAAUUUGUUUAAUCUAUGGAUAUAUCUGUACAGCUUUUUCAUCAUACAAAUACCUUCUCUUUUCUCUUCUCAUCUCAUCUCAAAGGAAGUUACACCUGCAUUUGAAAUAAUAGAAUUCUAUUAUACUAAUGAAGCAUGGUGGCCUUAUUCCUUUAAAUACAAUUCAUGUUCAUGUGUUGUGAUAUAAUAAUAUUAAAAUGUGAGUUUUUACAUUGCAUCGACGCAUUUGUAGCAGAACCAUAGCAUUUUUAAUUUGUGACUUUAUUAGUACUUGACUUUCUUGCAUUUACCUUAGUAAAAUAUGGGUCCAUGGGACUGAAAUUCAGGUUGUGUGCUUUGUUGUUAAGAUUCCUGUCAAUAAAAAGAACAAGAAAGAAAAGUACCAAGAGGAAUUGGAGGAGCACAUUAUAUCACUGAUUUCUUCAUUAUUUGGUGAGCAGGCAAGUGAGGUUUCUAUGGAGUUCACUUAGGAUGUUUGAUAUAGGAGUGAAUAGCUUUUACAUUUUUCAUGUAAUUUAUCUAAGGUUUUGAAAUCUGUAAUGGUCAAAUUACACCAUUGUCUUGUUGUUUUGCAAUGCCUGUGCAUUAUGCAUUUUUCCUUGACAUGAUCAAUGUAAAAAAGAAGGAGGAGUGUUAUCAGAUCAAUUGUUUAAUUGAUAGUUUAAUUUUUAAUCUUCCUCAAUUGCAUUAUUUGACUUGUGUAGAAGUUUCCAGUCUUACUGAAUGAGAUAAGGCCUAGUUAAUUGUUGAAUGUCCCACUCCCGCAUUGUUGCCUUAGUAUUGUAGUCUGUUCCAUGUUAUUUGCAAUUUUGCAUAUUAAAUAGACACCAUAUUUUUACAUUUUUAGUAGAACAGUUAAUUUCAUACAUGCAUGUUAUAUGUAUACUGGACUUUGCCUUUUAUGAUAUUGAACUUUCAAUACUCUCUUAACUUGCAUGGAUCCCGUCGCUACACGUGGGAACAGACUUACCACCGUUGCCGUUGAUUCGCCUCUGCUUUCAACAAUCAUUCCAUUGGUCUCGGUAACACCGUAAGUAUUCUCUCUUUACUCUCUCUGCAUAAUUUAUACUAUCAAAAUUUACCUAUUCAUUGAGCUAUAUAUGCUGCUAUGCUGUUUCAAAACAUGUUAAGACAUUCAAGUCCUGCUCUCCUAACAAUUUAGUCUUUAGAAUUGUCUGGUAAAUAGUCAUAACAUUGAUGAGAUUCUGUGACUAAACCUGCGCUAGACUCCAUGUCUCUCUGCUUCAAAUUGCAUGAGUAUCUGUCUCCUGUGGCUACUUGCCAUCAUCAGAAUAUGUCACAUGAAGCUUUAUUAUAUAUAAGAAAAGAAAUUGGGAGUAAAAUCUGCUUCCAUCCCCUCUAAUCCUAGUUUUAUGUCAGUUGUCACUGCUUUGCUUGACAGAGCACAAAACGCUGCCAAACAUGCAGAUGGUGGCUGAGUCUAUAAUCCUAUUCUACCCAAGCCUGCCUGCAAAAGGGGUUUUAACAAAUUAAAAGUACCGGUAGUGCUGCUGUUUAAUUUUCACUAUUGCAGGUUUUGAUUUGCGUCUGCUUUUCUCUUGUGUCAUACACUUUGGCUUAUUGAAAAAGAAACACAAAAGCAAAAAGCAAAACGAAAAUCAGGUUCUCAUUACAUGAAGGCCCAAACUGCUGGUCGAUUUAUGAUUUAUGUGCAUUCCAAGAUGAUGAUAGGUAAGUUUGGAACUAACUCGGAAUAUUUUCUUUAUAUAAUCUAAUCUUUUAAAUGAAGUUGAGAAGGAUAUCCAUUGACCAACUUUUUAUCUGCCCUCAGCUCUCUUUAAAUUUUAUUUUUAUCUCACAAUAACUUUAAAGUUGUAAUAUAUGUUUGAAAUUGAAGAUAGAUUUUGAUAUGCCCUGCUACGACCAAGUGAUAAGUAUUAUUCUUUUGUUUUUGGGCAAUGGAUGAUGAAUACAUAAUCAUUGGAUCUGCUAAUAUCAACGAGAGAUCAAUGAAUGGUGGAAGAGACACUGAAAUUGCUAUGGGAGCUUAUCAACCCUCCUAUUUGGCAACCAAUAAAAAUGGUGCAAGGGGCCAGAUCCAUCGCUUUCGCUUGUCCUUGUGGUACGAGCAUCUUGGCAUAUAUGAAGAAACUUUCCUCAACCCUGAACUUGAAGGUUGUAUUAAGAGGGUCCAUCAGCUUGCUCAAAACAAUUGGAACAGAUAUACAGGACAACCAUUAUGCACUUGUGGCCACCUCCUGCGCUAUCCCAUUGAAAUUUCUCUUGAUGGAAGUAUCACACAUGAUCCUGAAAUAUUCCCCGACACCCAUGCAAGAAUUCGAGGUAGUCAACACUUAGAUAGUUGGGUGGUUCGUAAUAUAAGGUGGGUGCGGGCACAAAAGCUGAGUUUAGUAUUCUGUAUUAGAUAGUGGUUGAAUAUUUUGUAUUAUUAGUGGAUUGCAAUUUAAAUGAAUAUAAGCCUAGGUUUAGUUAUUUA